rnacentral:rRNA from 1 species
GACGAACGCUGGCGGCGUGCUUAACACAUGCAAGUCGAACGGAAAGGCCCUGCUUUUGUGGGGUGCUCGAGUGGCGAACGGGUGAGUAACACGUGAGUAACCUGCCCUUGACUUUGGGAUAACUUCAGGAAACUGGGGCUAAUACCGGAUAGGAGCUCCUGCUGCAUGGUGGGGGUUGGAAAGUUUCGGCGGUUGGGGAUGGACUCGCGGCUUAUCAGCUUGUUGGUGGGGUAGUGGCUUACCAAGGCUUUGACGGGUAGCCGGCCUGAGAGGGUGACCGGCCACAUUGGGACUGAGAUACGGCCCAGACUCCUUCUGGAGGCAGCAGUGGGGAAUAUUGCACAAUGGGCUGAAGCCUGAUGCAACAACGCCGCGUGCGGGAUGACGGCCUUCGGGUUGUAAACCGCUUUCGCCUGUGACGAAGCGUGAGUGACGGUAAUGGGUAAAGAAGCACCGGCUAACUACGUG